rnacentral:rRNA from 1 species
GAUCCUGGCUCAGGAUGAACGCUAGUGACAGGCUUAACACAUGCAAGUCGAGGGGCAGCACAGGUAGCAAUACCGGGUGGCGACCGGCGCACGGGUCAGUAACGCGUAUGCAACUUGCCUAUCAGAGGGGGAUAACCCGGCGAAAGUCGGACUAAUACCGCAUGAAGCAGGGGCCCCGCAUGGGGAUAUUUGCUAAAGAUUCAUCGCUGAUAGAUAGGCAUGCGUUCCAUUAGG